AUCCGCCAAAACAUCUUCGGCGUUGUAAGGUUAAGCCUCACGGUUCAUUAGUACCGGUUAGCUCAACGCAUCGCUGCGCUUACACACCCGGCCUAUCAACGUCGUCGUCUUCAACGUUCCUUCAGGAGACCUAAAGUCUCAGGGAGAACUCAUCUCGGGGCAAGUUUCGUGCUUAGAUGCUUUCAGCACUUAUCUCUUCCGCAUUUAGCUACCGGGCAGUGCAUUGGCAUGACAACCCGAACACCAGUGAUGCGUCCACUCCGGUCCUCUCGUACUAGGAGCAGCCCCCCUCAGUUCUCCAGCGCCCACGGCAGAUAGGGACCGAACUGUCUCACGACGUUCUAAACCCAGCUCGCGUACCACUUUAAAUGGCGAACAGCAUACCCUUGGGACCUACUUCAGCCCCAGGAUGUGAUGAGCCGACAUCGAGGUGCCAAACACCGCCGUCGAUAUGAACUCUUGGGCGGUAUCAGCCUGUUAUCCCGGAGUACCUUUUAUCCGUUGAGCGAUGGCCCUUCCAUUCAGAACCACCGGAUCACUAUGACCUGCUUUCGCACCUGCUCGCGCCGUCACAGUCGCAGUCAAGCUGGCUUAUGCAUUGCACUAACCUCCUGAUGUCCGACCAGGAUUAGCCAACCUUCGUGCUCCUCCGUUACUCUUUAGGAGGAGACCGCCCCAGUCAAACUACCCACCAGACACUGUCCGCAACCCGGAUCACGGUCCACGUUAGAACAUCAAACAUUAAAGGGUGGUAUUUCAAGGUCGGCUCCAUGCAGACUGGCGUCCACACUUCAAAGCCUCCCACCUAUCCUACACAUCAAGGCUCAAUGUUCAGUGUCAAGCUAUAGUAAAGGUUCACGGGGUCUUUCCGUCUUGCCGCGGGUACACUGCAUCUUCACAGCGAGUUCAAUUUCACUGAGUCUCGGGUGGAGACAGCCUGGCCAUCAUUACGCCAUUCGUGCAGGUCGGAACUUACCCGACAAGGAAUUUCGCUACCUUAGGACCGUUAUAGUUACGGCCGCCGUUUACCGGGGCUUCGAUCAGGAGCUUCGCUUGCGCUGACCCCAUCAAUUAACCUUCCGGCACCGGGCAGGCGUCACACCGUAUACGUCCACUUUCGUGUUUGCACAGUGCUGUGUUUUUAAUAAACAGUUGCAGCCAGCUGGUAUCUUCGGCUGACUUCAGCUCCGUGAGUAAAUCACUUCACCUACGUGUCAGCGUGCCUUCUCCCGAAGUUACGGCACCAUUUUGCCUAGUUCCUUCACCCGAGUUCUCUCAAGCGCCUUGGUAUUCUCUACCUGACCACCUGUGUCGGUUUGGGGUACGAUUUGAUGUUACCUGAUGCUUAGAGGCUUUUCCUGGAAGCAGGGCAUUUGUUGCUUCAGCACCGUAGUGCCUCGUCGUCACGCCUCAGUGUUAAAGUGAACCGGAUUUACCUGGAACACAUACCUACACGCUUAAACCGGGACAACCGUCGCCCGGCCAACAUAGCCUUCUCCGUCCCCCCUUCGCAGUAACACCAAGUACGGGAAUAUUAACCCGUUUCCCAUCGACUACGCCUUUCGGCCUCGCCUUAGGGGUCGACUCACCCUGCCCCGAUUAACGUUGGACAGGAACCCUUGGUCUUCCGGCGAGCGGGCUUUUCACCCGCUUUAUCGUUACUUAUGUCAGCAUUCGCACUUCUGAUACCUCCAGCAUGCCUCACAGCACACCUUCACAGGCUUACAGAACGCUCCCCUACCCAACAACACACGGUGUCGCUGCCGCAGCUUCGGUGCAUGGUUUAGCCCCGUUACAUCUUCCGCGCAGGCCGACUCGACCAGUGAGCUAUUACGCUUUCUUUAAAUGAUGGCUGCUUCUAAGCCAACAUCCUGGCUGUCUGGGCCUUCCCACAUCGUUUCCCACUUAACCAUGACUUUGGGACCUUAGCUGGCGGUCUGGGUUGUUUCCCUCUUCACGACGGACAUUAGCACCCGCCGUGUGUCUCCCGUGAUAACAUUCUCCGGUAUUCGCAGUUUGCAUCGGGUUGGUAAGCCGGGAUGGCCCCCUAGCCGAAACAGUGCUCUACCCCCGGAGAUGAAUUC
rnacentral:rRNA from 1 species